AGCGAACGUUGGCGGCGUGGAUUAGGCAUGCAAGUCGCGCGAUAAAUCGCCUUCGGGCGAUGGAAAGCGGCGAAAGGGAGAGUAAUGCGUGGGUACCUGCCCUCAGGACCGGGAUAGCUGCGGGAAACUGCAGAUAAUACCGGAUGAUGUCUCCGGACCAAAGGUGUGAUUCCGCCGGAGGAGGGGCCCACGUCCUAUCAGCUAGUUGGCGAGGUAAUGGCUCACCAAGGCGACGACGGGUACGGGGUGUGAGAGCAUGCCCCCGCUCACUGGGACUGAGACACUGCCCAGACACCUACGGGUGGCUGCAGUCGAGAAUCUUCCGCAAUGGGCGAAAGCCUGACGGAGCGACGCCGCGUGCGGGAUGAAGGCCUUCGGGUUGUAAACCGCUGUCAGUGGGGAGGAAAUGCACGGGGGUUCUCCCUCGUGUUAGACCGAUCCGCAGAGGAAGCACAGGCUAAGUUCGUGCCAGCCGCCGCCGUAACAC
rnacentral:rRNA from 1 species